rnacentral:rRNA from 1 species
AAAUUGAAGAGUUUGAUCAUGGCUCAGAUUGAACGCUGGCGGCAGGCCUAACACAUGCAAGUCGAACGGUAACAGGAAACAGCUUGCUGUUUCGCUGACGAGUGGCGGACGGGUGAGUAAUGUCUGGGAAACUGCCUGAUGGAGGGGGAUAACUACUGGAAACGGUAGCUAAUACCGCAUAACGUCGCAAGACCAAAGAGGGGGACCCUCGGGCCUCUUGCCAUCGGAUGUGCCCAGAUGGGAUUAGCUUGUUGGUGGGGUAACGGCUCACCAAG